rnacentral:lncRNA from 1 species
UGAGAAAGGAAAUCGUGGGUUGUCUUCGUUUAACGAUAUAGAAGUAAUCCUUGCUUUUCCUUCCAAGUAUUUCUCGACAGAUAGACAGACUAAUUGGUCGAGAAAAAUAGAGGAAGAGAGAGAAUGGGGAAAACAAAUAAAGAAGGCAUAAAAGGAAACUGAGCAAGCUAACAGGACAACUCCAUUCAAGACAUCAGUCCUUGGGGCAUCAGCGGUGUAUCGGUGUAGCGGGACGAUGCGAAGGCCCCAUCUCCAGAAGCAUGCGUCUACCUCCUGAUGGUAAAAGUGCCAAUGGUGCGGCAGAGCCGCGGUAAGCGGUCUUGAUUUUUGUUAGCAUCCUGGCUCCAUCGGCAGAAGCAGACGACAGCAACAGAACUGAGAGCAAAAUUGCCAGCACGGCCUCUCCUUUUGACUGCCUCAUCUGCCUCUCCACAAGCACGGUCCCUCCCUCUUCCUCUCGUAUCACCCCCGAAGGCUUAAUAAAACUUCCUUCACAGGUUUCAAUAUAUAUAUAGCAUCUACAGGUGGUUUCAAGACCAUUUUCUUCGUCAUUUUGUU